rnacentral:rRNA from 1 species
ACCUAACACAUGCAAGUACGGAAACGGGGUAAAAAGCUUUCGGUUUUUUUACUUAGUGGCGAACGGGUGAGUAACGCGUGAGAAACCUGCCUUUCAGGUGGGGGACAACAGUUGGAAAACGACUGCUAAUACCGCAUAAGCCUACAGAAUGGCAUCAUUCGGUAAGGAAAAACUCCGGUGGUAUGAGAUGGGCCCGCGACUGAUUAGCUAGUUGGGAGGUAAUGGCUCACCAAGGCGACGAUCAGUAGCCGGUCUGAGAGGAUGGACGGCCACAUUGGGACUGAGACACGGCCCAGACUCCUACGGGAGGCAGCAGUGGGGAAUAUUGGGCAAUGGGCGAAAGCCUGACCCAGCAACGCCGCGUGAAGGAAGAAGGCCUUCGGGUUGUAAACUUCUUUUAGCAGGGACGAAGGACGUGACGGUACCUGCAGAAAAAGCAACGGCUAACUACGUG